GGCUGUGGCUCAGUGGUAAAAUGCUCGCCUAGCAUGUGUGAGGAACUGGGUUCAAUCCUCAGCACCA
rnacentral:tRNA from 1 species